CCAGGAAGCAAUUCCCCAGACAUAUUUUCCGUAUGCAAAGUGACCUCAGUGUGACCCAUCUCGUAAAAGUCCGGUGAUCACAAUACGCAUGGAUGUCCUUAAAAUAAACUAUUAUCUGAAUUUACGUGUUAAACACGUGCUCAAUUUCCAUGCUUUUUUGUUUAUUUUUUGUCGAUUGUUGACAAACAGGUGACAAUCGUUAAACUUCGGCUUCAAAACACGAAUUUUAAUUACCUGCCAUAUUUUCACAAUAACACUGACCGAUUGAAAAAAAAAAUUAACGAUUAUACGAAAUUUACACGAAAAAAAUGAUAAAUUCGUGCACAGAAGACUAAGUUUAUGAUGUUUGUAUGCAUUGGUUCAAGAAUUGGAAGAUC
rnacentral:lncRNA from 1 species